ensembl:rRNA 5S_rRNA 5S ribosomal RNA
AUAUGCAGCCAUAUCACCCUGUAGCCCAAGACUGGUCCCCCACUGAAGCUAAGCAGGGUUGUGCCUGGUCAGUGCCUAGAUGGGAGACCUCCUGGGAAAACUAGGUUGCUGCUGGAA